rnacentral:rRNA from 1 species
CCGGAAUUAUUGGGCGUAAAGCGCGCGCAGGCGGUCCUUUAAGUCUGAUGUGAAUUCUUGCGGCUCAACCGCAAGCGGUCAUUGGAAACUGGGGGACUUGAGUGCAGGAGAGGAAAGCGGAAUUCCAUGUGUAGCGGUGAAAUGCGUAGAGAUAUGGAGGAACACCAGUGGCGAAGGCGGCUUUCUGGCCUGUAACUGACGCUGAGGCGCGAAAGCGUGGGGAGCAAACAGGAUUAGAUACCCUGGUAGUCCACGCCGUAAACGAUGAGUGCUAAGUGUUGGAGGGUUUCCGCCCUUCAGUGCUGCAGCAAACGCAUUAAGCACUCCGCCUGGGGAGUACGGUCGCAAGACUGAAACUCAAAGGAAUUGACGG